AGCUAACGCUUUAAGCAUUCCGCCUGGGGAGUACGGUCGCAAGAUUAAAACUCAAAGGAAUUGACGGAAACUCAAAGGAAUUGACGGAAACUCAAAGGAAUUGACGGAAACUCAAAUGAAUUGACGGAAACUCAAUAGGAAUUGACGGAAAUCUAAAUGUGAUUGACCCUGAACCUCAACCCGGUGAAGUGCAUUGUCAAACUGGAUAGCUUGAGUACGGGAGAGGGUAGUGGAAUUCCGAGUGUAGGGGUGAAAUCCGUAGAUAUUCGGAGGAACACCGGUGGCGAAGGCGGCUACCUGGACCGAUACUGACGCUGAGACGCGAAAGCGUGGGGAGCAAACAGGAUUAGAUACCCUGGUAGUCCACGCCGUAAACGAUGGGUACUAGGUGUCGCGGGUAUUGACCCCUGCGGUGCCGAAGCUAACGCAUUAAGUACCCCGCCUGGGGAGUACGGCCGCAAGCUAAAACUCAAA
rnacentral:rRNA from 1 species